ACGGCGCGCGCGCGUCCCAGUCGAGCGCGGCGAGCGACGGCAGCGUCCGGUAGCCGCUCGCCGCGCCGUCCCAGACCACGCGCAUCGCGGCCACGCGCGACGCCUCGCCGAUCGCCUUGCGGCUCCAGUAGCCCGUCGUCACGUACUCGGGCGCGGCCGCGCCCGGCCGCGAGAAAUUCAUCGGGAUCAUCGAGAACUGCAGGCUGCUGCCGCCUUGCAAGAACACGACGCCGUACUCGUCCGGAAUGCCCAGCAGAUCGCGCAGAUCCGCCUGCGCCUGCGCGAGCAGACUCGAGAACCAGCUCGAGCGAUGGCUCAUGCCGAGCACCGACAAGCCGGUUUCCGGCAGCUCCACCA
rnacentral:misc_RNA from 1 species